UAUUCUGCCCCACGGGGAAGGAUGAGAAGCUUCGACUAAGGUUCGACUCGAGCGAAGCGAGAGAACGUUGCCGCAGGCAACGGCCCGAAGGCGAGGCGCUUUAGCGCCGAGUAAUCCUUCCCCCCACCA
rnacentral:sRNA from 2 species